rnacentral:rRNA from 1 species
CCUACGGGGGGCUGCAGUGGGGAAUAUUGGACAAUGGGGGCAACCCUGAUCCAGCCAUGCCGCGUGUGCGAAGAAGGCCCUCGGGUUGUAAAGCACUUUCAGUGAGGAAGAACGCCUGGUGGUUAAUACCCAUCAGGAAAGACAUCACUCACAGAAGAAGCACCGGCUAACUCCGUGCCAGCAGCCGCGGUAAUACGGAGGGUGCGAGCGUUAAUCGGAAUUACUGGGCGUAAAGCGCGCGUAGGUGGCUUGAUAAGCCGGUUGUGAAAGCCCCGGGCUCAACCUGGGAACGGCAUCCGGAACUGUCAAGCUAGAGUGCAGGAGAGGAAGGUAGAAUUCCCGGUGUAGCGGUGAAAUGCGUAGAGAUCGGGAGGAAUACCAGUGGCGAAGGCGGCCUUCUGGACUGACACUGACACUGAGGUGCGAAAGCGUGGGUAGCAAACAGGAUUAGAUACCCCUGUAGUC